GUUUCCUUUGCACAGGUUUUGAUAAAUCUCCCUCAUGGGCCUUGUUUACUAAGAGUGUUGUAUGUUAAGAGAUCCACAUAGCGGUCUGAUCCGGACGGAGAAGAAAAGGAAAGAGGACGUCGCUGAUCACAAAAGACGUCAUUGUGCUCCGUUUAGGUGUUGCCGCAGUACCAGUCUGUCUCCUGUGCCACCAGGAAGUCACAUUCACGUCACUUCUGAACCUCUCCUCCGUUACGAGCCGCACUGCUCUUGUUUUUCUUGGGAGAAAUUCGUUUUUUCUAAUUUCUCCCAAGGUUUUUCUGGACCUGAUGAAAAAAGGAAUUCCCUUUGAAACGCGUUGUCAUUUGU